rnacentral:rRNA from 1 species
AAGACCUUGCGCUUUUGGAGCGGCCGAUGCCUGAUUAGCUUGUUGGUAAGGUAAAAGCUCACCAAGGCUUCGAUCAGUAGCUGGUCUGAGAGGACGACCAGCCACACUGGGACUGAGACACGGCCCAGACUCCUACGGGAGGCAGCAGUGGGGAAUUUUGGACAAUGGGGGCAACCCUGAUCCAGCCAUGCCGCGUGAGUGAAGAAGGCCUUCGGGUUGUAAAGCUCUUUCAGCCGGAACGAAACGGUCACGGCUAAUACCUGUGACUACUGACGGUACCGGAAGAAGAAGCACCGGCUAACUACGUGCCAGCAGCCGCGGUAAUACGUAGGGUGCGAGCGUUAAUCGGAAUUACUGGGCGUAAAGCGUGCGCAGGUGGUUUUGUAAGUCAGAUGUGAAAGCCCCGGGCUCAACCUGGGAACU